GCAACUAGCGAGCAGAGCAGGGCAGACCAGCAGUAGCAGACACAAAGAGAAAGUAGAAAGGCAAGGAUGGGUCAGUGCCCCUCUAUCCGGCAGCCUGAGGCAGAGUAUGUUCGCCUGCUGGCGUUACCCGGCGGCAAAAGCAGGAACGAGCAGUUCGGCAAACCUACAAAGGCCAUGAACAAAUACCAAAAAAGAUCAAGCAAGGACGAUCUAGUUAUGAGGGCGACACUCGAAUCAAUCACGAGAAUUGGAUAAAACUGCAAAUUUGAUGGAAAAAGAGCGAUGCCAGAUGUCAGAGUUUCGACCCGGAUACUAUAGGCAUCAAUUGUGAAUCUUAAUGCCGGUAGAAAUACGGUGAAAUCUAGGAUGGCUUUCGAAUUACUUAGAUGACUUAAAAGUAAUUGUGUGUACAAGUCUCCUAGCUAGCACUACGCAUGUUCCGGAAAUUUGCUUCACUAUGUUUUGUACAUAUAAGUGAUAAUAAUAUAUGAAAGGUCAGCGGUAAUUAA